CAGUAGCCACGGUAAUACGAGGGGGGCAAGCGUUGUUCGGAAUUAUUGGGCGUAAAGGGCGCGUAGGCGGUUUGGCAAGUUUGGUGUGAAAUCUUCGGGCUCAACUCGAAGUCUGCAUCGAAAACUGCCGGGCUUGAGUAUGGGAGAGGUGAGUGGAAUUUCCGGUGUAGCGGUGAAAUGCGUAGAUAUCGGAAGGAACACCUGUGGCGAAAGCGGCUCACUGGACCAUAACUGACGCUGAGGCGCGAAAGCUAGGGGAGCAAACAGGAUUAGAUACCCGUGUAGUCCCUGUCUCUUAUAC
rnacentral:rRNA from 1 species